rnacentral:rRNA from 1 species
AUCCUAUCAGCUAGUUGGUGAGGUAAUGGCUCACCAAGGCAAUGACGGGUAGCGGUUCUGANAGGANGAUCCGCCACACUGGUACUGANACACGGACCACACUCCUACGGGAGGCAGCAGUGAGGAAUAUUGCACAAUGGGGGGAACCCUGAUGCAGCAACGCCGCGUGGAAGAUGACGCAUUUCGGUGUGUAAACUCCUUUUAUAUGUCAAGAAAAUGACGGUAGCAUAUGAAUAAGCACCGGCUAACUCCGUGC